GAGUUGUAAUUUGAAGAAGGCAACUUUGUAGCUGGUCCUUGUCUAUGUUCCUUGGAACAGGACGUCAUAGAGGGUGAGAAUCCCGUGUGGCGAGGAUCCCAGUUAUUUGUAAAGUGCUUUCGACGAGUCGAGUUGUUUGGGAAUGCAGCUCUAAGUGGGUGGUAAAUUCCAUCUAAAGCUAAAUAUUGGCGAGAGACCGAUAGCGAACAAGUACAGUGAUGGAAAGAUGAAAAGAACUUUGAAAAGAGAGUGAAAAAGUACGUGAAAUUGUUGAAAGGGAAGGGCAUUUGAUCAGACAUGGCGUUUGCUUCGGCUUUCGCUGGGCCAGCAUCAGUUUUAGCGGUUGGAUAAAUCCUCGGGAAUGUGGCUCUGCUUCGGUAGAGUGUUAUAGCCCGUGGGAAUACAGCCAGCUGGGACUGAGGAUUGCGACUUUUGUCAAGGAUGCUGGCGUAAUGGUUAAAUGCC
rnacentral:rRNA from 1 species